rnacentral:rRNA from 1 species
UUGAAGAGUUUGAUCAUGGCUCAGAUUGAACGCUGGCGGCAGGCCUAACACAUGCAAGUCGAGCGGUAGCACAGAGAGCUUGCUCUCGGGUGACGAGCGGCGGACGGGUGAGUAAUGUCUGGGAAACUGCCUGAUGGAGGGGGAUAACUACUGGAAACGGUAGCUAAUACCGCAUAACGUCGCAAGACCAAAGUGGGGGACCUUCGGGCCUCAUGCCAUCAGAUGUGCCCAGAUGGGAUUAGCUAGUAGGUGGGGUAACGGCUCACCUAGGCGACGAUCCCUAGCUGGUCUGAGAGGAUGACCAGCCACACUGGAACUGAGACACGGUCCAGACUCCUACGGGAGGCAGCAGUGGGGAAUAUUGCACAAUGGGCGCAAGCCUGAUGCAGCCAUGCCGCGUGUGUGAAGAAGGCCUUCGGGUUGUAAAGCACUUUCAGCGGGGAGGAAGGCGUUAAGGUUAAUAACCUUGGCGAUUGACGUUACCCGCAGAAGAAGCACCGGCUAACUCCGUGCCAGCAGCCGCGGUAAUACGGAGGGUGCAAGCGUUAAUCGGAAUUACUGGGCGUAAAGCGCACGCAGGCGGUCUGUCAAGUCGGAUGUGAAAUCCCCGGCUCAACCUGGGAACUGCAUUCGAAACUGGCAGGCUAGAGUCUUGUAGAGGGGGGUAGAAUUCCAGGUGUAGCGGUGAAAUGCGUAGAGAUCUGGAGGAAUACCGGUGGCGAAGGCGGCCCCCUGGACAAAGACUGACGCUCAGGUGCGAAAGCGUGGGGAGCAAACAGGAUUAGAUACCCUGGUAGUCCACGCCGUAAACGAUGUCGAUUUGGAGGUUGUGCCCUUGAGGCGUGGCUUCCGGAGCUAACGCGUUAAAUCGACCGCCUGGGGAGUACGGCCGCAAGGUUAAAACUCAAAUGAAUUGACGGGGGCCCGCACAAGCGGUGGAGCAUGUGGUUUAAUUCGAUGCAACGCGAAGAACCUUACCUGGUCUUGACAUCCACAGAACUUUCCAGAGAUGGAUUGGUGCCUUCGGGAACUGUGAGACAGGUGCUGCAUGGCUGUCGUCAGCUCGUGUUGUGAAAUGUUGGGUUAAGUCCCGCAACGAGCGCAACCCUUAUCCUUUGUUGCCAGCGGUCCGGCCGGGAACUCAAAGGAGACUGCCAGUGAUAAACUGGAGGAAGGUGGGGAUGACGUCAAGUCAUCAUGGCCCUUACGACCAGGGCUACACACGUGCUACAAUGGCAUAUACAAAGAGAAGCGACCUCGCGAGAGCAAGCGGACCUCAUAAAGUAUGUCGUAGUCCGGAUUGGAGUCUGCAACUCGACUCCAUGAAGUCGGAAUCGCUAGUAAUCGUAGAUCAGAAUGCUACGGUGAAUACGUUCCCGGGCCUUGUACACACCGCCCGUCACACCAUGGGAGUGGGUUGCAAAAGAAGUAGGUAGCUUAACCUUCGGGAGGGCGCUUACCACUUUGUGAUUCAUGACUGGGGUGAAGUCGUAACAAGGUAACCGUAGGGGAACCUGCGGUUGGAUCACCUCCUU